GAUGAACGCUGGCGGCGUGCCUAAUACAUGCAAGUCGAGCGAACGGACGAGAAGCUUGCUUCUCUGAUGUUAGCGGCGGACGGGUGAGUAACACGUGGAUAACCUACCUAUAAGACUGGGAUAACUUCGGGAAACCGUAGCUAAUACCGGAUAAUAUUUUGAACCGCAUGGUUCAAAAGUGAAAGACGGUCUUGCUGUCUCUUAUAGAUGGAUCCGCGCUGCAUUAGCUAGUUGGUAAGGUAACGGCUUACGAAGGCAACGAGGCAUAGCCGACCUGAGGGGGUGAUCGGCCACACUGGAGGUGGAACACGGUCCAGACUCCUACGGUAGGCAGCAGUAGGGAAUCUGCCGCAAUGGGCGAAAGCCUGACGCAGCAGCGCCGCGUGUGUGAUGAAGGUCUUCGGAGCGUAAAACUCUGUUAUUAGUGAAGAACAUAUGUGUAAGUAACUGUGCACAUCUUGACGGUACCGAAUCAGAAAGCCACGGCUAACUACGUG
rnacentral:rRNA from 1 species